UACAGAGGGGCAAGCGUUAUUCGGAAUUAUUGGGCGUAAAGGGCGCGUAGGCGGCUUGGCAAGUGGAAGGUGAAAUCCCUCGGCUUAACCGAGGAACUGCCCUCCAAACUGCUUUGCUUGAGGCCGGAGAGGUGAGUGGAAUUCCCGAGUGUAGCGGUGAAAUGCGUAGAGAUCCGGAAGAACACCGGUGGCGAAGGCGGCCUGCUGGGCAGUAGCUGACACUGAGCGCGACAGCGUGGGGAG
rnacentral:rRNA from 1 species